GGCCCUAUAGCUCAGCGGUAGAGCGUCGGCUUCCAGUCACUCUAAAGUGGAAUGAACUGGCAUCUUUGGUGCCAGAAUUAAUUCCGAAGGUCAUCCGUUCAAAUCGGGUUGGGGUCA
rnacentral:tRNA from 1 species